GGGGGCGAUUUGGAUUCGACCGGAUGUUGGGAAGUGAGAGUGGCGUGUCGUGGUUGGUCAGCGGGCCACGUAAAAAGCUGACCGAAAACUUUACGUGCCGAGAGUGAUCUCGCACUCGCUGCCUAAGAAAAGGUAGCGGCGGCCGCCGGUUCUGGUCGGGGGAAUCGGAUGGCCGCUCGCCCACCCGACUCGCCGUCUGCCAUGUCGAGUACGCAGGCGGUUAAAACUCGUUCUCGGCUGGUUGCUGGCGGACCGUGUCGGUUCGGGCCGUCGGCAACGAGACUUCAAAGAACCGACUACACACGUAGAAGCUCUCACGGACACAUCGCGGGACGGGGGUUCGAUUCCCCCCGCCUCCAUUG
rnacentral:tmRNA from 1 species